rnacentral:rRNA from 1 species
UACGUAGGGGGCAAGCGUUGUCCGGAUUUAUUGGGCGUAAAGAGCGCGCAGGCGGUCCGGUAAGUCUGGCGUGAAAUCUCCCGGCUCAACUGGGAGGGGUCGUCGGAGACUGGCGGACUGGAGGGCAGGAGAGGGAAGUGGAAUUCCGGGUGUAGUGGUGAAAUGCGUAGAUAUCCGGAGGAACACCGGUGGCGAAGGCGGCUUCCUGGACUGUACCUGACGCUGAGGCGCGAAGGCUAGGGGAGCGAAC